UUUUUAUAUAGGUAUGGUCAUACAUAGUAUAUCAUUUAAAUAUAGCAUGAUAGGUCUCCUUUAAUCUGACUCAAUCCGUCUAUCAAAGGACAAUAACAUUGUGUAGUCUGAUCCCAGCAUUAGGUGCUUGUCUCCUAAUUUGGUCACUUGUUUUUGGGAAGUGUUUUCCAAUUCACCUGUGGAAAAAAACACAGACACAAGACAAGUUAAUAUAGGAACAAUUCAGAUUUUGUGAUGGAUGGCCAAACACUUCCUGUAAAACAGCAUGUUAUUCAAUUCCAGAAAAACCUGUGUGCUCUAUCAUCUCCCAAACAAGUAAGCAAGACUCAUAUAGCCCUGUCCCCUAAAGAGGAAAGGAGGAUACAGCCACCUUGUUCCCCUGAUAUGAUUGGUAAUCGGCAGCGCUGGCUGCAGGACAAUAGGACGUGGCUGUACCUGAGCUGCUUGUCGCCCCCUUACGUGAAUGGUCCAGGAGAGUAUUCGUCUGCUUUCCAGCCCGACCCAAAGUGAUCCGACGCUGAAUGAAUUGCCUCUUGUCUGCAUUUUGUUCCAAAACUGUCCAUGCCUUGCUCCCAUGUAGAAAGGAAUAUAUUACAUUUUGGGUGACGUGAUUUUAUAAGCAUAUAAAUUAUUUUGAAAUGUUCUAUUGUAAUUGUUCUACUCUCUGUAUAUUGGUUAUUUGAAGGCCACUCGAGAUAUUGCAAGAACAAAUGUUUUUCAUUAUUUGAAAGUGCUGUUUGUUAUUUUUUUACUAAUGUUUUUAUACGCGUUUGUGCUUGUAAAUAGGACUGAUGUUCAUUAUACAUGCGUCCAAAUUUGCACUGAUUUUUACUGAGAAUCUGUAAUCAACAUGCCUAAUGAGCAUGUUGAUUACAUAACAGUGAACGAUAUAAAUGUUUUGUAUGUAUUAUCUAUGUUUCUCCUAUAAAGUUGAUAAAUAUUUUUAAGUGUG